rnacentral:tRNA from 1 species
CCGGCCGCCUGCGUGGGAGCGGUGGCGCGCGCCGAUAUAUUCGGCGGGAAAGGGCACGGCCACACGCGGGCGGCCGUUCGAGGUGCGGCCGAAGCCGGAC